AAACCCUCAUUUCUGAGCUUUCGUGUAUCAGUUGAUAAGAAUAUAAUGGGACCAACAGCCUCUAAUACCUCUCCAAUACGAGGGCUGACAAAAUUCAGGUCUUCAUGCAGACCCUUCAAGGGUGGAUCGUAGGAAUCAACAAACUGGAUUAACCUGUGAUAAAAAUCGCAGUCCCUAUCAUUUCUUGCCAUGGCAUGAAGCAAAU
rnacentral:misc_RNA from 1 species